rnacentral:lncRNA from 1 species
GGAGCCGGCGCACGGCGCCGGGCACCGCGCUGCCCACCGUCAGUCCCCCUGUCCCCUCUGAAGCCUUCCCUUACCGGUUCGAAGCGCCGGUCUCCACGCGAGCCCCGCCGGCGGCGCCGAGGGGGUGGCGGAGCCGACCCGCGUCGUACAGGGGCUGCUCGGUCGGGGGAAGGUGGCUGAGGGCUGUCAGGCUUCACCUGCGGGGACAGACAGCCCGGCCCGGCUGUCCCUCGUGUCCGGCCUGAGAAGGCGCUGAGGGUCACCAGUGCGGUCAAAACCGGCUCCCCUCGUCAAGGCGCCGUGUAAACACGAGGUUUAUACACGAGGUUUAAACACGACCGGACCGUUAAAAAGUGAACACGAGGAGAACUUUCCAGGCGAUGUGAAACACAGAUAGGACAUUUUGCUCCUUUGUGGUGUGGCUGGACACUAAGAUGACCUAGCAGGAACUGAGAAAAAUUGAGAGAAGAGGGGAGGUAGCCGUCUGCAGUCCUGAUUUUUCCUGCAUCUGCUAUGGACUGAACUCACAGUAAGCUUGCUGUAAUGAACGGCAUGUCCCCGGGAAUUGCCAACUUCCCAUGCUUGUUACCAUAUUUUGGCAUCUUUGUUACUUAUGUGUUUCCUAUGCCUGUCAGAAGAGAGAAGGUAUAUUACAACCUCCUGAAAGCUGAUGUUGAGGUAAAAUGGCUGGAGGCAAGCUGGCUGUUGGGAGUUCUGAUUCUUGGCUUGACAAUGUGGAGUUACAGGACAAACACUGUGGAGUAGGACACUUCUGCUUAUAGGAUCAGUACCAAAAUAACUAACUGGUGGCAUUUGAAUACAUAACAUCAUUAGUCUUCAGACUCAACGAGCUCCAAGUUUUUCUGAAAUUUUGCAAUUUCCAAAGUUCUGCUUUCAGUCACAUAUACAAUAGUAUUUUAAAUUUCCAUUGAGGUAUUGCUUUUAAGUUUGUCUACUGUGUAGUAAAUGCUGAGAUAAAGCUAAAAAGAUAGUGCCCAUAUUAAAAUACUAUACCAUCCACAUCUACAGUACCUUUUGUUUCUUUAUACUGCUGCAUUGACUGUGAAAUCAGCACAUCAUUGAUAUUGUGGGAAAUUAUAACAACAUACCUUUACUUGCAGUUCAGUGUCAAAAAAAAAAGUGUGCAGACUCAUGGUGUGUCACAGGACUGUCUUAUGACUUCCCGGAGUGUUUAAUUACCUUACAUUUUGGAUAUUAUAUGCAAGGUUUCAGAGAAUAAGUGCAGAGCCUAAACUUUUAUUUGCUUCUUAG